rnacentral:rRNA from 1 species
CCUACGGGUGACUGCAGUGAGGAAUAUUGGUCAAUGGGCGGAAGCCUGAACCAGCCAAGUAGCGUGCAGGAUGACGGCCCUACGGGUUGUAAACUGCUUUUAUACGGGAAUAACGUGCCUUACGUGUAGGGCUUUGCAUGUACCGUAUGAAUAAGGACCGGCUAAUUCCGUGCCAGCAGCCGCGGUAAUACGGAAGGUCCGGGCGUUAUCCGGAGUUAUUGGGGUUAAAGGGAGCGUAGGGUGCAUGUUAAGCGUGCUGUGAAAUGUCCGGGCUCAACCCGGGCCUUGCAGCGGGAAAUGGCGUGCUUGAGUCCGCGAGAGGCAAGCGGAAUUCGUCGUGUAGCGGUGAAAUGCUUAGAUAUGACGAAGAACCCCGAUGGCGAAGGCAGCUUGCUGCAGCUGAACUGACGCUGAUGCUCGAAAGCGCGGGUAUCGAACAGGAUUAGAUACCCUAGUAGUC